rnacentral:rRNA from 1 species
AAGCAAAAUGCACUUAAAGUUUGAUGUCCCGAAACUAAGCGAGCUACUUUAAAACAGCCCAUAGAGCCAACUCAUCCCUGUUGCAAAAGAGUGAGAAGAUUUUAAAGUAGAGGUGACACACCUAUCGAGCUUAGAGAUAGCUGGUUAUUCAAGAAACGGAUUUAAGUCCAACUUUAAGUUUUUUUAGUUUUACUAAACAGUUAACAAACUUAAAAGUCAUUCAAAUAAGGUACAGCCUAUUUGAACAAGGAAACAACCUAUAAUAUAGGGUAAUGUCUACUAACGUGACUAAGUAGGCCUAAAAGCAGCCAUCUUCUAAAAAGCGUCCAAGCUUCUCCACUAGUUAUUACUAAUUCUACUAUUAACUCACAACCCUCAACUUCUAUUGAAUGACCCCAUACCCGUAUGGAAGACACUAUGCUAGAACUAGUAACAAGAAGACGAACUUCUCCAAAAUGCAAGUGUAAGCCAAAAUAAACCUCUUACCGGCACUUAUCGCUUCAACACACAGUAACCCCCCCCC